rnacentral:rRNA from 1 species
UGGUCUCAGUUCGGACUGUAGGCUGCAACUCGCCUACACGAAGUUGGAAUUGCUAGUAAUCGUGGAUCAGCAUGCCACGGUGAAUACGUUCCCGGGUCUUGUACACACCGCCCGUCACACCAUGAGAGUUUGUAACACCCAAAGCCGGUGGGGUAACCUUUUGGAGCCAGCCGUCUAAGGUGGGACAGAUGAUUGGGGUGAAGUCGUAACAAGGUAAC